UACAGAGGGGGCAAGCGUUGUUCGGAAUUACUGGGCGUAAAGGGCGCGUAGGCGGCCUGUUAAGUCAGACGUGAAAUCCCUCAGCUUAACUGGGGAACUGCGUCUGAUACUGGAUGGCUUGAGUGUGGGAGAGGAAUGCGGAAUUCCAGGUGUAGCGGUGAAAUGCGUAGAUAUCUGGAGGAACACCGGUGGCGAAGGCGGGUCUCUGGGCCAUUACUGACGCUGAGGAGCGAAAGCGUGGGGAGCGAACAGG
rnacentral:rRNA from 1 species